CCUAUUAAGCAGAGACCUUCCCUUUCUGACAGUUUGAAGCCAUCUAGCUUGUUGUGUUUGUUCUUCAGUCUGUGCCAGGUGCCCAAGCAGCUCUGUGGGAAGAUCUGAAUGAGUGACUGCAAUGGAGAUGAGCAGUGACCUGCUCACCCUGCUCAGUGCUUUGAGCCAGAGCCAAUCGCCAUCUGUGUUACUGACCUGGGUGCUGGGACGCAGCAGUGCACCCCGGUGAGCUGAGCUCACAGGUCACACUGGGACCAGCUGGGAAGCAGCUCUGCAGACGGGGCUGGGCUUCCUGGUGGUUACUGCGUGAAGAGGAGCCAGAAAUGUGCUAGUGGCAGCGUGCUGUGAUUUCAUGCAUGGACAAAACCAGAUGCAACAGGAAGAACAACUGAGGAAAAGGACGGUCCCGGUGUCUGUGAGCACCAGUGCUCCCUGGACGUGCACUCACCCGACCUCGAGCCCUGGGGUUGUGCUGGGGAGCCCGGGCUGCACGGUGCAGCUGUGCUGACAUUUCCCAUCAGGUUGUUCCCUCUGAGUUAACAACGUUUUUCUUUCAUGCAGCUGUUUACCAUUAAAUAAAAUUGAUGGUUCCCC
rnacentral:lncRNA from 1 species